GGGCGGGGGCACGGGGGGACUCCUACGGGAGGCAGCAGUGGGGAAUCUUGCGCAAUGGGCGAAAGCCUGACGCAGCGAUGCCGCGUGCGGGAAGACGGCCUUCGGGUUGUAAACCGCUUUCAGCAGGGACGGAAUUGACGGUACCCGCAGAAGAAGCUCCGCAGCCGCGGUAAGACGUAGGGGGCGAGCGUUGUCCGGAAUUAUUGGGCGUAAAGGGCUCCUAGGCGGUUCAGUAAGUCGACUGUGAAAAUCCAAGGCUCAACCUUGGGACGCCAGUCGAUACUGCUGUGACUCGAGUUCGGUAGAGGAGUGUGGAAUUCCUGGUGUAGCGGUGAAAUGCGCAGAUAUCAGGAGGAACACCAACGGCGAAGGCAGCACUCUGGGCCGAUACUGACGCUGAAGAGCGAAAGCGUGGGGAGCAAACAGGAUUAGAUACCCUGGUAGUCCACGCCGUAAACGUUGGGCACUAGGUGUGGGGUCUUAUCAACGGAUUCCGUGCCGCAGCUAACGCAUUAAGUGCCCCGCCUGGGGAGUACGGCCGCAAGGCUAAAACUCAAAGGAAUUGACGG
rnacentral:rRNA from 1 species